rnacentral:rRNA from 1 species
UACAGAGGUCCCAAGCGUUGUUCGGAUUUAUUGGGCGUAAAGGGUGCGUAGGUGGUAGGCUAAGUCGGAUGUGAAAUCCCGGGGCUCAACCUCGGAACUGCAUUCGAUACUGGCUUGCUUGAGGACUGGAGAGGAGAUUGGAAUUCAUGGUGUAGCAGUGAAAUGCGUAGAUAUCAUGAGGAAUACCAGAGGCGAAGGCGGCUACCUGGACAAUUGCUGACGCUCAGGCACGAAAGCGUGGGGAGCAAAAGGG